rnacentral:rRNA from 1 species
UACGGAGGAUGCAAGCGUUAUCCGGAUUUAUUGGGCGUAAAGCGUCCGUAGGUGGUUAAUCAAGUCUAUUGUCAAAGCCUGGGGCUUAACCCUGGAGAGGCGGCGGAAACUGGUUGACUUGAGUGCGGUAGGGGCAGAGGGAAUUCCCAGUGUAGCGGUGAAAUGCGUAGAUAUUGGGAAGAACACCGGUGGCGAAAGCGCUCUGCUGGGCCUGCACUGACACUGAGGGACGAAAGCUAGGGGAGCAAACAGG